rnacentral:tRNA from 1 species
GCCGAAAUAGCUCAACGGUAGAGCAAUGCACUUGUAAUGCAUAGGUUUUAGGUUCAAAUCCUAUUUUCGGCU